UCGAGGGUAUACAUCUAUAUAAAAUCUAUUUUUAAUCGUAGAACGGAAAUUGUGGGAAUUUUGCUAGUGUUCAGCGGCGGUGAACGGAAGUCGAAUUGCGACGGUACUGCGCCACGACGACUAUUGCCACGAUGGCUGAGGAGACUGACACAAACGAUAAAGCGACGAUGGAAAGUAUAGCGCAAAACAUACUCGAGGUCAGUACCGGAGGUGGGUCUACGUCGAACGAAGUAGCCGCAUUAGAGUUUCAAGCCUCGCAGGUGAUAUCAAGGCUCGAGGAAGCUGUCGAGAAGGCAGCAGACGAUGGCGGUACCACCUGGAACAAUCCCUCUGGGUUCCUCUCGCAAUCAAAAACUGCCGACGAAAUAUUAACUUUAAUUCAGGACUUGGUAAUUCACGAAGACGCUCCCCAACCGGUGAAAGAUGAUACAACGGAAACGGCAACGAGUCAAGUGACUACCUUACCAACAUUAACAGAGCCAGCAAAAUUAGCGUUAAUCGCACACACUGUUUCUGCUUACGCGCUCGCACUUCCAAAAUCGCAUGCUCAGAGAUUAGCUGGCCGAUUGGCCGCAGAUACAACCAGAUGGCUAAGUCAUAUUUUCCGUUUCGUCGAUUGCGCUUCUUCGUUUCACGAAGAUCACUUGGAAGGUUUAGUCAGAGUGACCAGGUUGGCUUUACACAGGAAAUAUCCCCGGUAUAUGGAGGAAGGUUUCACCGCGCUUGCGGCCUCACCACCUUUAAUUUACAGUUCUGUGGCCGCACCUUUAGGUGUGGUUCAACAUCUGUGCAAACAGCUUUCUUUGCCACUCCAUUGUGUAAGACCCAUCCCCCAUAACACAAUGUUUGGAUCGCGAUAUAGCAUGGACGUGUCAGCUUUGGAACGCCGCCUCGCGGAAGACACGCAAUCAAAUAGCGUGACACCGCUCCUGGUAUUGGCAGAGGCGGGAUCAGUAUUAACGGGACACUGCGACAAUAUCGCUAGAUUGCGUGCAAUUUGCGACAAGUACAAUGUCUGGCUCCACCUUAGAGGUCAUUCUUUAGCCGCGUUAGCGUUAAAUAAUUCUGCGAAGGAUCUGCCUUCGAAGAUCGCAGAUAGUGUUACGUUACCUCUUGGAAUAUGGCUUGGUAUACCAUCACUACCAGUAGUAACACUGUAUAGAUUAACAGAUACGAAAGGUGGUCGACCUACUCCAAGAGACACAACUUUGUCUCUGGUAUCAGGUUUAAUGACAGAUUCGUUGUCAAGACGUUUACCGACUUUACCCUUGUGGGCCACUUUGCAAGUGUUAGGUAGAGAUGGUGUACAUAAUAGAUUAAAGAGAUGCUUUUUGGCUGUGGAAGAAUUAUACAAUAAAAUUAAGAAAUUUUCUUGCAUAAGGAUACUGAGUCAACCACCUGGAGGAGAAACAGGGUCGUAUACCAUAAACGAGCUCCUAACAAACCCCGUGAAUAAUCCACAACUAUUCGAAGCUGUAGCCAGUGCAUUAGUGUUUCAAUUUGUACCUGCAGACAGGGAUCCACAGACAACAGAACGUGUUCCUCCUUAUUACGAUAAAUUAAAUUCCUGGUUAGGACAAAUUCUUCAAAGAGACAUUGAAAACGUACAAAUAGAGCUGUGUGAAAUAGAGCAUCAUGGUAUUGCGAUUCGUAUUUGUCCUCUAGAAAAUCCAGACCAACCUCCUACGACCGAGGAUAUAGAUAACGUAAUAGCUUGUUUGGAACAGCAGAUAGAAAUAUUACAGGCAACGGUCGAGCAUAAAGCAACGUUCGUGCGAUUAGUCUCAGAAAAUGACUCUUUACAUUUGGUAGAAAUGCCUGAUUGGGCAGGUUUAGGCGGUGUACGAUACGCACCUCCUACUUGGAUCCACGUCAUGACUGAUCAGGCAAAAGAGGAAUUGAACAGAUUAAACACGCAAUUAGUUGAAGCUUUACGGAACACAGACGCGGCAUUUUCUCUAGGAGAAGGCGCCGACGGCUUAGCUUGUGUACGAUUUGGUAUGGUUACACAAGAUACAGAUGUGGCCGAAUUACUAUCCUUAGUUCUACAAGUCGGUCAAAAAGUAGAAGCUAGCUCCAAGCUAUUGGAUACUAUAUCCGAAGUGGUGAAAAGAGGUAUCGAAGCAGCACAGACGGACUUGGAAAGAGAAAAUGCAGAAAAAUUAUGGCAAGAAGGUAUUCUUAGACACGUGCCUGUCGUUGGAACUUUCGUCAAUUGGUGGAGUCCACCCUCGAAAGAAACUGGAGUUCGUGGACGUAGUUUAAAUUUACAAGCCGGAGUUGUCGAGAGUACAGAGAAUAUUUACAAAUACCAUAUGCAAUUGCAACCAAACUCCACGGUGAUUAAUGGAUCUGGUGCUAGAACUCCACCACAGCCCCUUGUACAGACUCCAGUUGGCGCUGGUAGCCAAAGUCAUAGUCGUUCAUCGAGCCAUUCCAGUUUACAGAGCGGAAAAAGUAUCUCUGUAAUCACAAAUACCGUACCCCACCCGCAGGUAAAAGAAGAAUCCGGUGAGGUGAAGUCGUAGUAAACAUUAAACGAUACGAUUAAUCGAAGAAGAUUCAGUUCGUUAAGUUCAAAUCUCUGAACUUGACAAAGGAGCGAUGCUCUAGGUGAAACGAUCGAGCGUUUUCGGUAGAAGCUACCCUUUACAUUCUCAGAGCACAGCAAAAGAAUUAGCGUUUCUAAAGCGUUGAGGAGCUUAAUAAAUCGACAAAGACUACAUUUUUUACAUUUUAUUUGCGAGUUCUUUCUUCAUGAAGCACAACAUACAUUAAGAACGGAAAAAAGACACAUACAUAAUAAAGUCGCGAUUGCUUCGAGCAUUUAAAAAAGAAGGUAUUACGCACGCGUUGUAAAAUUUAUUCGAGAAAAUUAAGCUUUUCUUUAAGCAUCUAACAAAGCGUGUAAAAAAAGAAGGAAAAUCAGAACAAUGUUCCGAUAUUAGAACGAUAACCAAAGAGAGAGAGAGAGCGAUAAUGUAGAGUUACAUUCAAGAAAUUUGGAUUGUUACGAUGUAAUAAUGUGUAAUUUGCAACGGAAUAGGAAUUACUUAGUUCUGUUGUGUUAAAAAACCAUAAGAAAUACGUUCACAUUAUUACAGUAUUCGGUAAAUUGUUGAUAGCUACAUUGAAUGGAAAGAAAUUAAAUUAUAUGUAUAUUUAUGUACCAAAAUUGUUUUAAUAAAGUACUGCAAUUCAAUAAAUGAUCUUAACAUAA